UGGGGCUCCUUAAAUAGGUGACCCCCCUGUGGACACGCCCCAUACUCUCAUUGAAAUCCCAUCUGUGUAUAUGACUUUUGUUGCUUCCCACAAAGCGGACGCUUGGGUGUAGAAUCCCUAGGGUUAGCCUGUGGGGAGGAAGACAUAAACUCUAUUUGUUGUAUUGUUAGUCUGAGUGGUUAUCACAUAAAACAAGUUAAAACUUUCAACAACGGAUCUCUUGGUUCUCGCAUCGAUGAAGAACGCAGCGAAAUGCGAUAAGUAGUGUGAAUUGCAGAAUUCAGUGAAUCAUCGAAUCUUUGAACGCACAUUGCGCCUUCUGGUAUUCCGGAAGGCAUGCCUGUUCGAGCGUCAUCAAACACAUCCUCAAGCAGCUUUGCUUGGUAUUGGAGGAAGAUGUCCGCAUCCCCUCUCAAAUCUCUCAGCGGAAACCUCUGCAGUCUCAGGUGUGAUAAUUAUUUUUCGCUUGAUGACUGAUGGGUAUGUUCUUGCUGUUAAGAGCCCCCCAGCUUCUUUUUGAGUUUGACCUCGGAUCAGGUAGGG
rnacentral:rRNA from 1 species